UUUAAGUGCAAUUCUUCUGGGUUGCCGUUCACAUUUGUCCUUGGUACUGAAAAAACUCGUAAUGACCAGGAUUCCUCUGAUCUAUUUGCAGAUUUUUUUCAAUCCACUUUUCGUGCUGGCAAUAUU